UACGUAGGGGGCCAGCGUUGUUCGGAAUUACUGGGUGUAAAGGGUUCGUAGGCGGUGCGGCAAGUUGGGGAGUGAAAUCUCUGGGCUUAACCCCAGAGGCUGCUUUCAAAACUGCUGUGCUUGAGUGUGAGAGAGGCUCGUGGAAUUGCAGGUGUAGCGGUGAAAUGCGUAGAUAUCUGCAGGAACACCCGUGGCGAAAGCGGCGAGCUGGAUCACUACUGACGCUGAGGAACGAAAGCUAGGGGAGCAAACAGG
rnacentral:rRNA from 1 species